rnacentral:rRNA from 1 species
CCCUUAGAUGUUCUGGGCCGCACGCGUGCUACACUGAUGCAUUCAACGAGUCUAAAACCUGGUCUGAUAGGGCUGGGUAAUCUUUUGAAAGUGCAUCGUGAUUGGGAUAGAUGAUUGCAAUUCUUCAUCUUCAACGAGGAAUGCCUAGUAAACGCAAGUCAUCAGCUUGCAUUGAUUACGCCCCUGCCCUUUGUACACACCGCCCGUCGCUCCUACCGAUUGAAUGAUCCGAUGAAUACCAUGGAUUGAGAGUACGAAUAGGUUCGCUUAUUUCUGCUGCUCGAGAAGUGGAGUAAAUCUUAUCAUUUAGAGGAAGGAGAAGUCGUAACA